AGAAAUAUAUAAAUUUAAGAAAAAGCUUCUAACUUUUUUCUUUAGCAGUGUAAUUCUGUUAAUAUUUCUUAGUACAUACAUUAA
rnacentral:tRNA from 1 species